rfam:Blumeria graminis f. sp. tritici 96224 unplaced genomic scaffold Scaffold-108, whole genome shotgun sequence.
CUCAUAUUCCUGAUGAUUUGAAAAUGCAUAGUUCAUCUGAGGUAAUAACCCAUGAACGAAAUAAUACAUCAUUGUCUUUCGCUCCUAUCUGAUCUACAUUUU